rnacentral:rRNA from 1 species
CGUGUAGGCGGUUUUUAAGUCAGGUGUGAAAGUUCGGGGCUUAACCCCGGAAUUGCAUUUGAAACUGGAGAACUUGAGUACUGGAGAGGUAAGUGGAAUUCCUAGUGUAGCGGUGAAAUGCGUAGAUAUUAGGAGGAACACCAGUGGCGAAGGCGACUUACUGGACAGAUACUGACGCUGAGGCGCGAAAGCGUGGGGAGCGAACA